GCGGGUUGUACUCUUUUCGUUUUCUCAUAAUUUGGGAAGUGCGACAUUAAAAUAAACUUAAAAAUAGGCAAUUAAAAGACGCGGAAAAUAGUUGGACGCCGUUCGUUUCGGUCCGUAAUACGUAAAUCGGUGUACAAACGUAAUUUAAGCUACGAAAAGUUAUGGCGUCCCUACUAACCUACUUUUAGUUCGAAUUUAAAUCGGCGUUUGCGUGCUGGAUCUCGGGACGCGAUCGCGGAAAUUUUCAUUUUGUUGUUAAAUUCAACCCUUAAAUUAAUAAAAACUGACGGGGAAGUGUUAGUAAAUCGGUCUUUUCGGUGUCAUUUGAAGAUUAUCAAAAUUUAAAUAAAAUGGCGUCCUAUUUCAAAUUCACUUGUUUGCGUUUAAAACUUAACGUUUUGUGCCCCAUUUUUCGUCUUUGGAAUCAAGAAGCCCAAGAUUUCAACGAUAUGUUGAUUUGGGUUCUUGAGGAACGAGGAAUUCGAGGAAGAUCUGCAGUGUUUCAUCUCUACUUUGGUUGAUGGUUCUUCCCGGGAGAGACUGAAUGAAUGAGGCUAAAGGAUUGCAGAAAGGCGGCCUCAUAAAGGUAGGAUUUUUCCUUUUCUGCAUGGUGUAUAGCAUGUCAUAUUUUUUGUAAGGGGGGGCAAAAGUGAAUAGUGAAUAUAUCAACAAGAUGGAAGAUCAACAAUUGCUCUUCGCUUGAGUUCCAUGCUAUAACCCUAUGCAAGUUGUAACAAUCUCCUUCUGUCACCCUGGUGACGUAGGAUUGGAUUAUUACACCUUCGUGUGUUAUUGCACGAAGUUCAGCUUAGAGGAAGGUAAGUGCGUGUUCAUAAUAUUAAUGAAUUAGUUCAUUAACCAAAAAAAGAAUUGUACUUGAACUCGCAUUACAAUGGUUACCUGAUUACUAAUCUCGUCAAUUGUUACAGCUCCAUCGACGUCACUUAACCUGAUGGUGAGGAUUACGCCUACCACCAGUGCUGGGUUAAGGGUUUCUGAGCUAGGGGGCUACCUACGAAAGCCUCCCCCCCCUCUCCCUUUUAACUGACAAGAAAAAAUUGAACAAAAAAUUAAAUUCCUUUGUUUAUUUAGAAAAAAAUUGUUGUACCACUUUUUUGGCCUUUUGAAAAUUUUCAAAUUAUUAUUUCUAUGCUUUUUCCCUUUCAUAUGAUGUACAGGUUGUUCGAAAAGUAUGGAAUAUCGUAUAUAUCUUGGUAAACAUCCACCUUUUGAAAAAUGUUUUCAUUUUUUUUAAAACAAAAGCGCAAUAGGUAAUUUUCUUAAUGACAAAGAUCAAUUGUUGCCAACUUAAUUGAUAUAGUUUUUUAUUCCUAUUCAUUUCUAUAUACUUUAAAUGGGUAUUUCGCUCACACAUGGAUGUCAACCAAUCUAAAUUAGUAACUUUUUACUUCAAGUUCAGGUACUACUUUGACAGUUCUAAGACGCAAUUUAAACAAAAUUUUUAUUUUUGUUUAAAAAAAAAUUAAAUUCCAUGUGAUAAAAAAUUUCAUAAACAAUAACUUUUAUUUGAAACAUUUUUUUUAUAAAAUGGAUAUUUACUACAAAGAUGUAUACUUUUCGGACACCCUGUACAUACACAAAGUCAUUUUCAAAAAUCUUUAAUCAAUCGUCAAGACUAGCAAUAAACAAUUGAACCAGAAACAAUAUUUUGAAACUUGUUGAUCCCUUAGUUUAUUUCUGGUUUGUACCAUUCAAUCUUUUUGGACAUACAUAUUAUUAUUAUUAUUAUAGUACUAGGGAUGGCCCCAGUCGGUUCCUGCAUUGCGACCUUGUGCUCCCCGGUAGUGUCUACUCUUCAAGAAUACCUGUGUCUUUAACAGAGUUCAGGAUAUUGAUAGUUCAAACCUUUGUUACUUCCCCUUGUGUAAUUUUCUUAUUUCCAAGUAGGCGUUCCCUAUUGCCUUUUGUGCUGGCGAUAUAUUAUGAGUAUUUUCAAAAUGCGACCGUCGCUGCCCACAUCUUCUGUUUGCUUUAUCCGAAUCGACCACGAACCAUCUCCGCCAGCAUAUUAAAUGCUUCUUGGUUAA